UCAAGCAAACAAGGGCGCAGGGCGAAUGCCUUGGCACUGGGAGCCGAUGAAAGACGUGAUAAGCUGCGAUAAGCUUCGGGGAGCUGCAAAUAAGCAUUGAUCCGGAGAUUUCUGAAUGAGGAAACUCACUCAGGUUCAUACCUGAGUACGUUGCACUGAAAUUUAAAAUAGGUGCAUCGGGGGAACCGCCUGAACUGAAACAUCUAAGUAGGGCGAGGAAGAGACAUCAAACGAGAUUCCGUAAGUAGUGGCGAGCGAACGCGGAAGAGGGCAAACCGGGAGUAGAAAUACUUCCGGGGUACGGACUGCUUUUAGGACUUAAUCUGUUAACCGAACGGCAUGGGAAGGCCGGUCAGAGAGUGUGAGAACCACGUAGGUGAAAAUGGAGAGAGCUGCGCAGAUUCCAGAGUACGGCCAGACACGUGAAACCUGGUCGGAAGAUGGGGGGACCACCCUCCAACCCUAAAUACUACCCAGUGACCGAUAGCGUAUAGUACUGUGAAGGAAAGGUGAAAAGCACCCCGGGAGGGGAGUGAAAGAGAACCUGAAACCCUGUGCCUACAAGCACCUAGAGCACGUCAAUGUGUGAUAGGGUACUUUUUGUAGAACGGUCCGGCGAGCGAUUGUAUGCAGCAAGGUUAAGGACUUAAGGUCUGGAGCCGAAGCGAAAGCGAGUUUGAAAAGGGCGUUAAGUUGCAUAUAAUGGGCCCGAAACCGGGUGACCUACCCAUGGUCAGGUUGAAGUGGAAGUAAAAUUCCAUGGAGGACCGAACCGACCUCCGUUGAAAAGGCGGCGGAUGAACUGUGGGUAGCGGAGAAAUUCCAAUCGAACCCGGAGAUAGCUGGUUCUCCCCGAAAUAGUUUUAGGACUAGCCUCAAGUUAGAUACCUGGAGGUAAAGCACUGAAUAGCCUAGCGGCCGAGAGGUUAGCGAAGCUUAUCAAACUCAGAAUGCCAGAGUAUUGAUGCUUGGGAGUCAGACAGUGUCAGAUAAAUGUCAUUGUCAAAAGGGAAACAGCCCAGAUCUACAGCUAAGGUCCCAAAGUCAGGUUAAGUGGAAAACGAUGUGAAGAUACGCAGACAACCAGGAUGUUGGCUCAGAAGCAGCCACUCAUUCAAAGAGUGCGUAAUAGCUCACUGGUCGAGCGUCUUUGCGCGGAGAAUUUAACGGGGCUAAACCUGACACCGAAGCUUAGGCAAUCCAGUAAUGGAUUGGGUAGGGGAGCGUUGUAUACGCGGAGAAACAGUAGCGUAAGCGGCUGUGGAGUGUAUAGAAGUGAGAAUGCCGGAAUGAGUAGCGCGAAUGCAGUGAGAAUCUGCAUGGCCGAAAGCCUCAGGUUUUUGGAGGAAGGUUCGUCCGCUCCAAGUUAGUCGGGAGCUAAGGUGAGGCCGGAAGGCGUAGCCGAUGCACAGACGGUAGAGAUUCCGUCACCACCAAAAGAGUUAAGCACAGGGACACAUUUGAAGUCUCAGAGCCGGGUGUUGGUUCCGGUAGAGAUCGAGGGAAGUUAGUACCGAAGUCUGAGAUGGAAGAUGGCGAGAAAAGCUGUGUGUAUUUCUGAGGUGCCCGUACCGCAAACCGACACAGGUAGGUAGGAAGAAGAUUCUAAGGCCAACGGGAGAAGGGUUGUUAAGGAACUCGGCAAAUUGACCCCGUAACUUCGGGAGAAGGGGUGCUCCAGAGAUGGAGCCGCAGAGAAUCGGCCCAAGCAACUGUUUACCAAAAACACAGGUUUGUGCUAAAUCGAAAGAUGACGUAUACGAGCUGACGCCUGCCCGGUGCUGGAAGGUUAAGAGGAGAUGUGCAAGCAUUGAAUCGAAGCCCCAGUGAACGGCGGCCGUAACUAUAACGGUCCUAAGGUAGCGAAAUUCCUUGUCGGGU
rnacentral:rRNA from 1 species